rnacentral:lncRNA from 1 species
AGCUUGGUACGAGCCUGGUUAUGCAGACGUCGUUGGCAUUCCGUGGUUCAAGGCUACAUCGAGUCAGGGCAUGCCUCCAGUAUCCGACAGAGAAACCAAGUUAUCUUUCAUUUCGUCCGCGAGGAGGAAGAAUAUGUGAAUGAUUUAUCAACUUUGGUCACUUCGUUUCUACGUCCUUUCCGAAUGGCUGCGAGUGCUAAGAAACCACCCACUUCACACGAAGAGGUUAAUUCCAUCUUUUUAAACUGGUAAGGAAAUUAUGUCUGUGAUGUUACUUUGAGCGUGCAUCCCCACCGGGCAAGCUGAAAAGUUGACUAGUACACCAAAGGUCGCGAGUUCGACUCCCACCGUGGCCAAGCAAACUUUUCCGCUUGCCCGGUGUGGAUGCACACGCAGAGUAACACCACAAACAUCAUAUUCACCUGAGUAUAUAACACCAACACACACAGAAAUCAUGCAAUGAAAUGUAAGAUUAUAUAUAUAUCAUAAACAUGAAGCACUGAUUUGAAGCACCAAACACUCUGUCGGGAAACGCAUCGCUAGCCAAGUUUUUAACAUACUUUGAGGCGUUUUUAAAUCGCUAAAAUAAAAUAGAUAUAACUUCUCAAACAAAUCAGUAUGUAAAGGAAACUCAAAGUGAAAGUUAACGUUCGUUUCCGUGGCAUCAAGUCAACGAUACGGUGUUGUGUUUUUUGCUCAUCGAUGUGUAAUACUUUAAGAAACGUUUAUGAAAACAAUGAGGACGUUAAACUAAUGAUGUUAUUUCGUUUUAGUGAAAUCAUAUUAUUUCUUCAUCAAAUAUUUUUGAAAGGACUUCACACAAGAAUGGAGGAUUGGCCCACACUAAUUCUGGGUAAAUAAAUCUUUCUUCAAACAUAACUAACAUUGUGAAGUAAAGUUUGUUUCUCAAGCUUUGUAUUCAGACAAUAUCUGAGAUACGUUCCCUGUUUGUGUUUGGUGUUGGUAUUGUACUAGAUUUAGUAUAUGAACACGUGUCUGUCCAGAUAGUCUGAUUAACACAUUGAGCUCCCUUCCCUUGACGAGUAUGAACGGACCUUUGAUGCUGCAGUGUACAUGUAGAAAGAAUCAAUUUAAUGUUGACACUGCUAAGUUUUAUAUCUUUUUCAUCCCAGGUGAUCUUUUUCGUAUUCUACUUCCAAUGUAUGGGAUUUACCAAGAGUACGUUCGAAAUCAUCACUAUAGUCUGCAG